AGCGACAGCAAGUAAAGCUGCGCAGCUGUGCAGUUGUGUAGAAACGCUGUUAACUGCAGUGUGAGGGGGAUGUUUGGAUUCCUGAGCUCCGUGCUCCAUCUCGUCCUGCCCCGGGCAAGUCCUCAGGUCAAAGCAGAGCACUGCUGGUCUUCAAAGAUUGGAUUCGGGCUUGACUAUGUACGGACCUAUGGAGCUGGCAGAAGUCUGCUGAAGGGCAGCUUCACCAAUCAGAACAGAGAGGACUGAUAAGGAGGGGGGCCUUAAAG